UUAGAAUAUGAGAAACUAAGUUAUAUGUUUAGUUAUAUUUUUACUGAUUUUUAUAGAGUAAAGAUAGAAAUAAAACUUAGUAAAAUCAGUAAAAAUAUUCUUAGACUAAAGUUAAGUAGUUUAAGUUGUGUGCAAGUGGUAGGAGAGCGUUCUAUUUGCGUCGAAGGUAUACCGGUAAGGAGUGCUGGAGCGAAUAGAAGUGAGCAUGCAGGCAUGAGUAGCGAUAAUUAAUGUGAGAAUCAUUAACGCCGUAAACCCAAGGUUUCCUACGCGAUGCUCGUCAUCGUAGGGUUAGUCGGGUCCUAAGUCGAGUCCGAAAGGGGUAGACGAUGGCAAAUUGGUUAAUAUUCCAAUACCAACAUUAGUGUGCGAUGGAAGGACGCUUAGGGCUAAGGGGGCUAGCGGAUGGAAGUGCUAGUCUAAGGUCGUAGGAGGUUAUACAGGCAAAUCCGUAUAACAAUACUCCGAGAACUGAAAGGCUUUUUGAAGUCUUCGGAUGGAUAGAAGAACCCCUGAUGCCGUCGAGCCAAGAAAAGUUUCUAAGUUUAGCUAAUGUUGCCCGUACCGUAAACCGACACAGGUGGGUGGGAUGAGUAUUCUAAGGCGCGUGGAAGAACUCUCUUUAAGGAACUCUGCAAAAUAGCACCGUA
rnacentral:rRNA from 1 species